rnacentral:lncRNA from 1 species
CAGGGGUGGUGGCUUGAGCAUGGCGGGCUGCAGGUCUGGAGCCCUGCCCCAUAGGUAGGCGGCGGAGGCCCCGCGAGAAUUCCAGCGUAUUGUGGGCGGGCCCACACUGCGGGAGAGACCCAGCGCACUCUCCGCAGCUGCUGGCCCGAGUGCUGAGCCCCUCACUGCUGGGGCCGGCGGCGCUGCCGGCCACUCGGAGUGCGGGGCCUGCUGAGCCCGCGCCCACCCAGAACUCGCUGGCCUGCGAGUGCAGCGCGCAGCCCCUGUUCCCGCCCGCGCGUCUCCCUCCACAUCUCCGGGCAAGCAAAGGGAGCCGGCUCCAGCCUCGGCCAGCCCAGAGAGUGCCUCCCACAGUGCAGCGGCGGGCUGAAGGGCUGGCUUCUCAAGCGUGGCCAGAGUGGACGCCGAGGCUGAGGAGGCGCCCAGAGUGAGCAAGGGCUGAUAGCACGUUGUCACCUCAAUACCACAGAAAUUGAAAACAGAGAUAAAAGGAGACUACUGUAUAUCAGUUCAAGGCCAAGUGACAACCUUCUAAGAAAAACUCACAGAACUGGAAUUUGGAAGGCAAGUUAUGGUAUCUCAAACGUGUGGAGUGUGGAAAACAUGAAACAUUUCCUGAAAAUGAAAUAAUAGUAUCUGUCAAAUGAAAUCAAAUUCACUAACUCUGCAAGACUAAAUGCAAUUUUUGAGGUGAAGCCCCUAUUCUCUAAGAAGAAGCAGACAAAAGAAGCAAAGUCUAUUUGUGUCUAAAAUAUUUGCCACUUACCAAGGGAUACUCUGAGGUGGAGCAGAGGUGGUAAUGUGAGUGAUGGGGAGUGGCUGUAAAUACAGAUGAAGCUUCACUGAUUCACCAGCCCCCUUACCUCCUGCUGUGCAGCUUGGUUCCUAACAGGUGCUUUCCAUUACUGGACUCAACAAGAAGUAAAGGGCACAGGAGGCACAUACCACGCAAUUGUACAGGUUGGCUGGAUUUAGCUGGGCAGUCCUUCACUAACUGACACUCUAUUUGGGAUGACUCAUGUGGCUUCACUCAAUGGUGAGCUCUGCUGGGCUGUGACAUUAGAGAUGGCUUUACUUACUUGUCUAGGACAUGGUUGCUGGUAGCCAGCUGGGGAGCCAUGACUUUUUGUUUAUGUGACUUCUGUUUCCACAUGGCUUCUCAUCAUUCAGUAGAGAAACCUUAGUUUCUUUACAUGGUGCCUGGGUUCCAAGACAGCAAAAACUCAGUUCUUAUGACCUAAUCCCAGACCUGGCACAAUGUUACUUUGGUCACAUUCUAUUGACCAAACAAUUUCUGAGGCCAGACAUAAACUCAUCUCUUGAAGGGAGGAGAGCCAUGCCCAGGUAUGGAUGGGGGGAUUGUGGUUGGCCAUCUUUGGAGACAAUCUUCCAUUCCUAUCCUGGCCUAAAUUUCAAAUCUAAGCAAAGGGUAGAGUUUAAAUACAACUCAUAGGUUGAGAAAUAGAAAUACUUUUGGCAAAAGAACAAGAUAUCAUGUAGUCCAGGGCAGAACGUUUUUGUGAUUAAAGUAAUAUGACUUAUUAGAGAGAUUCAAAGAUGAGACCUGGAAGAUACGCCUGACUUGAAAUUAUCCGGCUUAUUAUACCUCGAUAUCUAUGAGUCAGAAAAUGUAUUGAAUAUGUUCAGCCUAAUCCUUUUUUUGCUACUAUUAGGACUUAUGACUAUGCUUGUCAUCACAAGAUAGUUCAAGUAUUUGUACUUCACAAGGGGAAGAGUAAGUUUUUUAACAUUUAUUGAUCAAACGUUUUGUGUCACACAAUUUAGCUUAUUUAAUAUUCAUGAUAACCUAAUGAAGUAUCAGUAUACUCCAUUUGUUCAUUCAAUUAUUUUUUAUAAUACAGCUUAUUAUAUUCUAAGCAUUAUUUGGGGCAUAAAAAUAUGGCAGAUAGCAAAAUAGACAAAGAUUCAAUCCUCCCAAAGCCCACAUACAAGUGAAGAGUAAGAAUUAUUUUAAUGUUUGUUCAUUGUCUGUUAAUUGACAAUCAAUAUUGUAAAGAAAAUGUACACAUUGAACAAAUCCUACAGGAUUUCACAUUAUUUGAGAUGAUUACAUUGUACAUUAUUCCUGAUGAACAUAAAAGAUAUUUGAUGAGGUGAUAUUUGAUUAUAGUUUGAUUUUUCAAAAUUAAUGAAGCCAAAAGCUUUUAUCUCACCAUUACGCCCCUCUGUCUGAUGCCUACCCUUUUCCUGAAAUAUAAUAAAAAUACUGGCAUUUUAAGAUGAAUUUCUCCAGAGUUAUUUGUAUAUCUGUACAAGCUAAUAAAAU